rnacentral:rRNA from 1 species
UACGUAGGGUGCAAGCGUUGUCCGGAAUUAUUGGGCGUAAAGAGCUCGUAGGCGGUCAGUCGCGUCUGCUGUGAAAACUCGGGGCUUAACCCCGGGCCUGCAGUGGGUACGGGCUGACUAGAGUGCGGUAGGGGGAGACUGGAAUUCCUGGUGUAGCGGUGAAAUGCGCAGAUAUCAGGAGGAACACCGGUGGCGAAGGCGGGUCUCUGGGCCGUAACUGACGCUGAGGAGCGAAAGCGUGGGGAGCGAACAGG